rnacentral:rRNA from 1 species
UACGAAGGGGGCUAGCGUUGCUCGGAAUCACUGGGCGUAAAGGGUGCGUAGGCGGGUCUUUAAGUCAGGGGGGAAAUCCUGGAGCUCAACUCCAGAACUGCCUUUGAUACUGAAGAUCUUGAGUCCGGGAGAGGUGAGUGGAACUGCGAGUGUAGAGGUGAAACUCGUAGAUAUUCGCAAGAACACCAGUGGCGAAGGCGGCUCACUGGCCCGGUACUGACGCUGAGGCACGAAAGCGUGGGGAGCAAACAGG